ensembl:sRNA
CCCUAGCCCUGAUGGAAACGGCAUCCUUUUUAUUUUUCCUUUAAAAAUAAAAAGAUAUAGUGGACAGCAGGAAUUAGC